UACGGGGGGGGCAAGCGUUGUUCGGAAUUACUGGGCUUAAAGAGUUCGUAGGCGGCGCAGAAAGUAGGGUGUGAAAGCCCUCGGCUUAACCGAGGAAUUGCGCUCUAAACUACUGUGCUUGAGGGACCUAGAGGUGAGCGGAACUGAUGGUGGAGCGGUGAAAUGCGUUGAUAUCAUCAGGAACACCGGAGGCGAAGGCGGCUCACUGGGGGUCUUCUGACGCUGAGGAACGAAAGCCAGGGGAGCGAACGGG
rnacentral:rRNA from 1 species